CGAUGUGAGGGCCAUCUGCCUGUGACACUCAUCGCCACACUGAGCUCCAGGGCUGAAUCAGUUGAUUUGGCUGGUUAUGCACACGUCCCCUUCCUCACCCAGCGCUCCAUAUGCUCCAUAUCCCUUCCAAAGCUGCUGGGGCACAGAGGACGACCUCCCCAAUACAGACAGUACAUUUUAUCACUCAAGGCUAUUGGGCAGCUGCGCUCCCUGCUAAAACUUUCAAACCUGCCCAUGGUACUAGGGUUACAUUUCUAGCGCUUCCCCGGAAGUCAUAAGUAAAAUUUUGGUAAAAGAAGACUGAAAUAGGGUGUAAAAAUGGGAGACAUGCAUGUGGUGCAUUGUGU
rnacentral:snRNA from 1 species